rnacentral:rRNA from 1 species
GACGAACCGUGCGAACGUUGUUCGGAAUCACUGGGCUUAAAGGGCGCGUAGGCGGGCCCUCAAGUCCGGGGUGAAAUCCUCCCGCUUAACGGGAGAAGAGCCUCGGAGACUGAGGGCCUCGAGGGAGGUAGGGGCGUGCGGAACUAUGGGUGGAGCGGUGAAAUGCAUUGAUAUCCAUAGGAACUCCGGUGGCGAAGGCGGCUCACUGGCCCGGUACUGACGCUGAGGUGCGAAAGCGUGGGGAGCAAACAGG